GUUCAUGUAGUGCAAUAGAUAGCACUUUGGGCCUCUAAUCCAAGGGUUGUGAGUUUAAAUCUCACCUGGGAUG